rnacentral:rRNA from 1 species
ACGAACGCUGGCGGCGUGGAUAAGACAUGCAAGUCGAACGGGACUAAAUCUGUAGCAAUACAGGUUUAGUUUAGUGGCGAACGGGUGCGUAACACGUGGGCAAUCUGCCGAGAAGUGGGGGAGUAGCUCGCCGAAAGGACGAAUUAAUACCGCAUAUGAUCAGUGAAGACAUCUUCACGACAUCAAAGCCGGGGCGAACCUGGCGCUUCUUGAUGAGCCCGCGGCCUAUCAGCUAGUUGGUGAGGUAACGGCUCACCAAGGCUAUGACGGGUAGCUGGUCUGAGAGGACGACCAGUUACACUGGAACUGAGACACGGUCCAGACACCUACGGGUGGCAGCAGUCGAGAAUUUUUCUCAAUGGGGCAACCCUGAAGGAGCGACGCCGC